GCUUGGUGAUGAGCCAUUAUACUAUAUUGUAUCCCCAAAGGAUGUAGUUAUUGCAAAACCUAGGGAUGCAGAAGAUCAUAUUUCUUGGCUUCUUCAACAUGGAUGGCAUGAAAAAGCUUUAGCAGCAGUUGAAGCUGGGCAGGGACGAAGUGAGCUUCUUGAUGAGAAUAAAUGCAAAGCGGUAGAGCAACAGAAAAGACUGAUGUUUAUAGUUUUGGGGUUCUGGUUCUUGAAGUAGUGAGUGGAAAGUGACCCACUGAUGCAGCCAUUAUUGAGAAGGGCUUCAACAUUGUUGGCUGGUGGUGGCUUUGAUGGCUAUAAAAAAUGCUCUCAAUGACCGAUACAAUGUUUUGGAGAACUGGGAUAUUAAUUCAGUAGAUCCUUGUUAUUGGAGGAUGUUUACUUGCUCUGCCGAUG